GUAAAUAUAGUUUAAUAAAAAC
rnacentral:tRNA from 1 species